rnacentral:rRNA from 1 species
ACAAGCGGUGGAGCAUGUGGUUUAAUUCGACGCAACGCGAAGAACCUUACCAGGGCUUGACAUCCCCUGACCGCGUAUGAAAGUACGUUUUCACCCUCGGGUGACAGGGAGACAGGUGGUGCAUGGUUGUCGUCAGCUCGUGUCGUGAGAUGUUGGGUUAAGUCCCGCAACGAGCGCAACCCCUACGUUUAGUUGCUAACAGGUGAAGCUGAGCACUCUAGACGAACUGCCGUUGACAAAACGGAGGAAGGUGGGAUGACGUCAAAUCAUCAUGCCCCUUAUGUUCUGGGCUACACACGUGCUACAAUGGCCGGUACAGACGGAGGCGAAGCCGCGAGGCGGAGCAAAUCCGAAAAAGCCGGUCUCAGUUCGGAUUGCAGGCUGCAAUUCGCCUGCAUGAAGUCGGAAUCGCUAGUAAUCGCAGGUCAGCAUACUGCGGUGAAUACGUUCCCGGGCCUU